UACGUAGGGACCAAGCGUUGUUCUGAUUUACUGGGCGUAAAGGGCGCGUAGGCGGCGCGGUAAGUCACUUGUGAAAUCUCUGAGCUUAACUCAGAACGGCCAAGUGAUACUGCAGUGCUAGAGUGUGGAAGGGGCAAUCGGAAUUCUUGGUGUAGCGGUGAAAUGCGUAGAUAUCAAGAGGAACACCUGAGGUGAAGACGGGUUGCUGGGCCAACACUGACGCUGAGGCGCGAAAGCCAGGGGAGCAAACGGG
rnacentral:rRNA from 1 species